UAGAUAUUCAGAAUUGAGA
rnacentral:piRNA from 1 species